rnacentral:tRNA from 1 species
GGGGGUAUAGCUCAGUGGUAGAGCAUUUGACUGCAGAUCAAAAGGUCCCCAGUUCAAAUCUGGGUGCCCCCU